rnacentral:rRNA from 1 species
AGAGUUGAUCAUGGCUACAGAACGAACGCUGGCGGCAGGCUUAACACAUGCAAGUCGAACGCGAAAUCACCUUCGGGUGGUGGAGAGUGGCAGACGGGUGAGUAACGCGUGGGAAUCUACCUGAUGGUACGGAAUAACUCAGGGAAACUUGAGCUAAUACCGUAUGUGCCCGAGAGGGGAAAAGAUUUAUCGCCAUCAGAUGAGCCCGCGUCGGAUUAGCUAGUUGGUGGGGUAAAAGCCCACCAAGGCGACGAUCCGUAGCUGGUCUGAGAGGAUGAUCAGCCACACUGGGACUGAGACACGGCCCAGACUCCUACGGGAGGCAGCAGUGGGGAAUAUUGGACAAUGGGCGCAAGCCUGAUCCAGCCAUGCCGCGUGAGUGAUGAAGGCCCUAGGGUUGUAAAGCUCUUUCGACGGGGACGAUAAUGACGGUACCCGUAGAAGAAGCCCCGGCUAACUUCGUG